GCUACUUGCCAUGGAUUUAUUACUACAUGUAGAAUUAUAAUUGGAUUUACUAAACUGAACAGUAAGAAACGUUUGAAAGACUGUGAAGAUUCAACACUUCCAGGGAUACCUCAUCUCAGUUGCCAUGGAUACUACUCUUCUUGGAUAAUCUCAUCAUUAAAUUGUGCGUUGUUUUGGGAACUAUCUCAUGUACAAUAAACGACAACUGCUUCUGUAUGGAAUGUAAAAUGCUGCAUGAGAAAAGAAGAAAAGAUUUGACAUGAAGUUUGAAACUGCAAAAAGAUGCAUCUAUGCAUGAAUGGAUAUUAUCAUCUAUUGUGAUCUGUAUUAUCAACAAAAACAACAAUAAAUGAUUCAUCCUGUGCGUGUGACUUCUGCAUGUAAUUGUGCAUGAUAAGUUCCUGAAUUACUGAUAGAAUGUUAUCUUCAUGGUCAUCGCAGGAUGCGUAAGCUUUCAGAGAAGAUAUCAUCUGUGAAUGGAACACCAGACUGAAAUUAUGGCUUAGACGCAACAUAUGACAAUAUACAGAGUCUCUGUAACACAAAUUUGAUGUGCACAUUCAUAAUAGUUAUAGAAAAUAAUAAAAAAUUACAGAAUGACAAA